rnacentral:misc_RNA from 1 species
AAGUCGUAACAAGGUUUCCGUAGGUGAACCUGCGGAAGGAUCAUUAACAAGUCCUGCUGUGCGUGCGGAGCAGUCUGCAUGCGCACAUCCGUUCCAUGUGCACCGCACAUGACAUUUCUGCGAGUCGUCUGAUUGUCGCUCUUCAAACAAUACAGACUUUUAACAAUGGAUCUCUAGGCUCUU